rnacentral:rRNA from 1 species
CAGAGGUAUCAAGCGUUGUUCGGAUUCAUUGGGCGUAAAGGGUGCGUAGGCGGCGCGGUAAGUCGGGUGUGAAAUCUUGGAGCUUAACUCCGAAACUGCAUUCGAUACUGCCGUGCUUGAGGACUGGAGAGGAGACUGGAAUUCCUGGUGUAGCGGUGGAAUGCGCAGAUAUCAGGAGGAACACCAAUAGCGAAGGCAGCUCGCUGGGACGUUACUGACACUGAGGCGCGAAAGCGUGGGGAGCGAACAGG